UUAUUCUGAGCCUCAUUCUAGAUGCUGAGGGCAAUGGAAGCACAUAACUUAUGCAAGAGAACCUCUUGUUUUGUGAUAUGCAGCAUCUUGUGACCUUGGUGAUAUAUUAACAUAUCAAGCAAAGAGAUGCAGAUAGAUCUUUGGGCAUAUUUGAUGAACGGUUACACCCAUUUACAGAAUGAGUUGGAAAGGGAAUUCUUGAAGCUAAUUAAUUACAAUAUCAGCGUUACUGGCAGUGUUUAUAGCAGAUUCUACUUCAAUCUUCGAACCUUGGCACAUGACAACAGCCUGUAUUCGCUAGUUUAUCUUCUUAACAGAGAAAGAGCAUGGAAGCUGGAGUCCCAGCAGAAGUGCAUCGUGAUCUUUGCCCUGGUGUGCUGCUUUGCCAUUCUGGUUGCACUGAUCUUUUCAGCCGUGGACAUCAUGGGAGAGGAUGAGGAUGGACUCUCAGAAAAAAAUUGCCAAAAUAAAUGUUGGUAGGAGUGUUGCUCCCAAAUUUAGAAGAUCCAAUUUGGUUUGGCUCCUUAUCUGAUAUCUGAGCACUCUUCUGACUGCCUAAAAAAGAAAAAGAAGGUAGUCUAACUUAUUCUUCCUACUCCAGAGGAACUCUGAAGAAUGCAAAAGCCUAGAGCCCUUGAUACUACAAAUGGAUUUCCAGUGCACUAGAUGAAAAAUAGCAAUGAAGAG
rnacentral:lncRNA from 1 species